GCACCGAAAGGAUGAUCCGACUCAGCGACAGAACCAAGACAUCUAUGGCUCAAGGUCAAAAUGGCGCGAUUUCGCGUCGUUUGACGGCGCCGUAGCACGCCCAGAGCAGAUGGGCGGCGACGCCCCGGUAGGGCCGCCAGAGCUCAGCGCGGGCAUAGGCCUGUUUUUCGGUCGGACGGGUCUCGGCCCUGUCGACCCAGCGCAUCGCUUCCUGCAGCGCGACGUCGCCGCCGGGGAACAGAUCCAGCCGCCCUUGCGUGAACAUCAGAAAGACCUCGGCCGUCCAUCGGCCCACGCCCUUGAUGGCGGUCAGGGCUGCGAUGGCCUCUUCGUCGGAUAGCGCGCGCAAGGCGUCGAAAUCGCAGACUCCGGAGAGAUGGGCCUCGGCGAUGGCGCGGGCAUAGCGGGCCUUCGGUUGCGAUAGGCCCAGCGUGCGCAGGUAGGCCUCAUCAUGAUCCGCGACGAUUUCAGGCGUCAUCUCCGGCAGCCCGGCCUCG
rnacentral:sRNA from 1 species